AUGGCCACAAGGAGGAAGCUCUCCAGGUCUCCAAAAAAAAAAGAAGAAAUACAUUUGGGUCAGGCAGCCAGCAUAGGGGAUGGAUGGGUCUUGGCUCUGCAUAUUCUGAAGCAAUUUGGGCACGGUGACAGAGGAAAAGCAGAGGUCAGAGAAAGACAAAUUGCUGAGGAAAAAAUACAUGGGCGUGUGGAGGUGGGCGUCCAGGCAAAUGAGAACCAUGAUGAGGAGGUUCCCCAGGACGGUGCUAAGAUACAUGGCCAGGAACAGAGCACAGAACAGGCUUCGAUGCUCCGCCUCAAUGGGCAGUCCCAGCAGGAGGAACUCUGAAACAACCGUUUGAUUUCUUCCUGUCAUGCUCUUUCUCCAAGGUCCUCAAGAGGAAAGGACAGUGUCCAUGAAAACCUGAAGUUAAAAAUGAACAUCAGUAUACGAUCCAUGGUCUGCUACAUGCUCUGCAAAAAUACCUUAGCUCACGCUCACCCCAAUAAUGACCAUCUCUAUACUAUUUCAAAUCUCCACAAACAGAAUCCCUAUGAGGGGAACUGACGCUCUUACUUCACUUCCCUUCAACAUGAAACAACAUUCCAACUUGCCAAAAACACUCAUUUCGUUUUUUCCUGCUUGGCCGCCCUCAUGGCACAGCGAAGUUCCCCCAGACCAGGGGUCGAACCCGAAACAAAGCUGUGACCUAUGCCACAGCUGCAGCAACACACCCUGGAUCCCGAACUCACUGCACUGGGCCAGGAUCGACCCCAUGCCAGUUCAGAUACAACGCUGGACUCUCCCCCACCGCACGACAGCACAAACACCCUAAAACUCUCUUAUUUAUCCCUUAGAUUCUGAGACACAGCGUAUACUGGUUUUCCUCAAACCUGCCUGGCCAGACAUCGUGAAUAACUACAACUGGCUUCUCUUUGGUUCACAGCUUCAAGUUGACGGAUGUCCUAGGACCUUUACCCACAGGCGGUUCUCCUCUAAUUCCAUGUACCUUCCAGGAAACCUCACCUACUCCAAUGGCUUUAGACAUCCAUUUAGGUGUCUCGCUAACCUAGUCAAAAAAUACUCAACUGCUUCAUGAUUAGCUUUCUCCGACGGCAUCACAUGCAUUUUCAACUAAACGGAUUCCAAAAGAAACACAUCAUCCCCUGUGCCCUUCUCCCAACUCCCUCCUCCUCUCAUCUCCGCAGCUCAGAAAAAGAGUUUCACAGGCUCCAGAUGAAACCAUGACAGUUUUCUUUCAUUCCCUCCUCUCUCUCAUCAACAUCCUUAGAUCCUCAGAUCAGCCUACCUAGCAUCACAUCUUGUCUGGACUGUUGGAACCAGCUCU
rnacentral:lncRNA from 1 species